rnacentral:rRNA from 1 species
CCUACGGGGGGCAGCAGUGGGGAAUAUUGGACAAUGGGGGCAACCCUGAUCCAGCCAUGCCGCGUGUGUGAAGAAGGCCCUCGGGUUGUAAAGCACUUUCAGUGAGGAAGAACGCCUGGUGGUUAAUACCCAUCAGGAAAGACAUCACUCACAGAAGAAGCACCGGCUAACUCCGUGCCAGCAGCCGCGGUAAUACGGAGGGUGCGAGCGUUAAUCGGAAUUACUGGGCGUAAAGCGAGCGUAGGUGGCUUGAUAAGCCGGUUGUGAAAGCCCCGGGCUCAACCUGGGAACGGCAUCCGGAACUGUGAAGCUAGAGUGCAGGAGAGGAAGGUAGAAUUCCCGGUGUAGCGGUGAAAUGCGUAGAGAUCGGGAGGAAUACCAGUGGCGAAGGCGGCCUUCUGGACUGACACUGACACUGAGGUGCGAAAGCGUGGGUAGCAAACAGGAUUAGAUACCCCAGUAGUC